ensembl:lncRNA
AUGAUCUCCAAAAACAACCCUCACAAUAAGUAUCAUCAUUUUAAUAUCAGUGUAGAAGCUACCAGGAUAAUCCCUGGUAUUGAAGGGUAAUUCCGAUCCUCCAGGUUUGCUGAGCUCCGUGUGGCUUUGAAAAGGAUGGAAGAGGAGGAACUGCAGAAAGUGGAGGUGAGCAGUGGACUGCUGAGAUUGGAUGGCAUGGAGGAGAACCUGAGGAAAAUGAAUGAACUGCUGGAGAGAGGAGCGAAGAGGGAGAAACUUCUGCGGGCCGCUGCGGAGUGCAACGAAUCUGUCCUCUUUCUGCGCUGGUGGGGCCUGAAGUCGGUGAUGUCAGGCCAUACUGUCACCCUGAGAGGGGACAACUUGGCCUCCCCCUCCAGGAGUUUCCCCCGGCUGUGCCUGAAGAAGAGCAGAAUCCAGUACAGGAACCCAGACAGCCUGGAAGCCCUGUUCAGACCAGCUAUGGAGAAGAGCCUGAAAAGUUGCAUUGUCCCCAGGCUGGCUCCCUGGGAGCCCCCCCUGUUUGGGAAUGUAUGGGACAAUAUACGUUUGUUUUUUAGACGAAACCAAGAGAGGUAAUUUGCAUUUGGUAAGUCUUUAGUCGUUCAAUAUGCAUCUAUAACAACAUAUGUGAAAUGCGAGAAGUGUAAUUUUAUAUCUUCAUGUAGUACAAGUAGCUGUUAUUUAUGUAAUGGUGUAAUUACAUUAAGUAGGUAGGACAAACACCGCCUAACUAGGAUAGACUGUUAUCGACACCUACUGUAUGUAUCUUGACAAAUUGACCAGUCAGGAAACGUUUAGACUGAUAUGUACAGUGGGGAGAACAAGUAUUUGAUACACUGCCGAUUUUGCAGGUUUUCACACUGACAAAGCAUGUAGAAGUCUGUAAAUGUUAUCAUAGGUACUCUUCAACUGUGAGUGACGGAAUCUAAAACAAAAAUCCAGAAAAUCACACUGUAAGAUUUUAAAGUAAUCAAUUAGCAUUUUAUUGCAUGACAUAAGUAUUUGAUACAUCAGAAAAGCAGAAGUUAAUAUUUGAUACAGAAACCUUUGUUUGCAAUUACAGAUUGUCUCUCACAGAUGAGGUGUACCUAUGAUAAAAAAUUACAGACCUCUACAUGUUUUGUAAGUAGGAAAACCUGCAAAAUCGGCAGUGUAUCAAAUACUUGUUCUCCCCACUGUAUCAUGGAAUUUAUAAGAGUUUAAAAAUCAGGUCUGCUACAGUAUGACAGCCUUCAUACACAGCUCAGAUGAUGGAAAGGUCAGAGAAGUAACUUAAAGGCAAAUAAACAUGACCAAAGUUCACAAUGUCUUUAGAGUGACCAAGCCAAUGUGUGGCACAUAUAUUUAGAGUAGGCUCACAAUUCUUUUCAACUCAGUGGCCUAUGUUUAAACCCCAUGUAGGCCCAGUAAAAUAGAGAGACAAGGACUAAGAACAGAUUCUUGGCCACACAAAAAAGUUAAUUGAGGCAGUAGCAGCUAAGUCAGCCAGCAGUUUUAAUUAGCUGAACUCAGUCCAUAAAUAUCGAGCACAAGCCUUAAUGUUCUAAACUGAAUGUUUAGAAGAACAAGAAGUACAAGCAGAGCCAGAGACAGUAAGGUAAAUGAGACAGGUGAACAAGACAUCCAGUUGAGCACUCUGGUCUACUUUUUCCCCCUAAGCUGAAUAGAGUCUCGUUCUGAUGGCCCUGCCCAAUAUUUCAGUAGAUUUAUGCUGAUGGACAGUUUGUGCUGUGUACUACUACAGUAAUGUUUUCCUACCUUUAUAUAAAGCUAUGCAUCACAAUCAUGACAUUUUUUGAGAAUUUUGUAGUUAAGUCAAUCUAAAUUUCGAUCACCACUUUAUGUCCUGGUCAUUUGGACCAGUAGCUCCAAACUCAACCACUUUGUUUCCCGGUCAUUUGGACUAGUAGUUCCAAACACAACCACUUUGUUUCCAGGUCAUUUGGAUUAGUAUCUCCAAACCAGCCUGGUAAUAUAUACCCACUUAAGGGGCAUGUCUACAAUACCCUAAAACCAGUCUGGUAAUAUAGAACCCCUGAUGGGCAUGUAUACACUACCCUAUAACCAGCCUGGUAAUAAAGGUCUCCCUGAUAGGGCAUGUCUUCACUAACCUAAAACCAGCCUGGUAAUAAAGUCCCCCUGAAGUCACAUGCAAGCUCCUAUUGUAAAGAUUACAACCUAAUGGGAUCGUUCCAGUCCUUACUUGGUGUUUCCUGUUCUGUUUAGUUAAUUAGAUUAAUUACAUUCACCUGUGGUUCCACUCAUCUGUUUUGUGGUAGCCCAUCAGUAUGUGUAUUUAGUUCAGUCCUUUUCUCCCAGUCCUGGUGGGUAUUUCAUCAAGGCAGAUAAAGGAAAAGCUUGUUUAAGUGAGAGUCCCUCCUCAGUAACCUAGAUAACUUAUACCUCUGAACUAUGAUUGCCACCUUCAUUGUGGAAAAAUAAGGGACACCUUGCCAACAGCCCCAAGCACAGGGGACACAAAAGCAGGGGGUCUGGGGGUCCUCCCCGGUGAGAUUUUGUGUGUCAGACACUUAAUUUCCUGCAUUGUGUAUUUUUAUGCACCAAUUUGUGCUUUGUUUGCAUCAAUUUCAAAGUGCUCUGCUAUUCUCAACAUGAAGGUAAUGGAAAUAGAGUCAAUAGGAGUAAAGAACAGUUGCAUCAAUUAUAUUAAGGUUAAAAACAUUAGAUCAUAGGCAGGAAGUUUUUCAAAAUAAAAAAAUAAUUUGGUAUAUUUUGAAGAAGCAAGAACAGACCCUCCAGGAAGGGUGGGGUAGCCUAGCCUUUUCUGUUGCUGCUCCCAUGCUCUGGAAUAGUCAAUACAUUUAAAACUGUCAUUCCACCACUGAACAUUUUAAAUACAAUUUAAAGACCCCUCUUUUUCUCUUGCUUUUAGUUCAGUCUGAGGUUGUUCUUUGGUUUUUGUUAAAUCCACUCUUUACUUGUUUUUAACAUCCUCUUACUGUGUUUUAAUCAGUUGUUGGUUUUAUUCAAUUUCUCAUAACGUCUUAUCAUAUUACUUUAAUUAGAUUUUAUCAUUUUAGUUGUCUUGAGUGUUCUCCAUUUUAGUCUUGCCCUUUAUGUAUUAUAUGUACUGUUGUAUUAUAUUAUGUAUUGACUUUUAUGUAUCCUUUAAUCACGUAUACAGACCCGGCGGCAAGGCUUUGCCCCCAAAAAAUGGUUUGGGUAAUGCUUCCCAAUACUGUACUUCACUAAUUACUGUUGGGAAUAUAGGCUAGCUCUCUUGCCUUCCUCUGCAAAUGGAAUUGAAGAUGUGCUUUAAAUGAUGUGAUCACUAAGCUACAAAGAAUGUGUAAGUACUGUAAAUGUAGUUACUAAAAACGUCAAAUUUGAUUGACAUCUGUGUAUUUUGCUAGUAUAUAGCUUCUGCAAGCCAUGCAUGCAAAAAUUAUUAGCUUUUUGUCCCUUGUGCUGAAGUUACUAUUCUAUGUUGGUUAAGUAGGAAACACAUGCCUGUCCAUGGAAAUCAAAAGCCCGUCCAACAUGCUUGUUCUAGCAUCCUGCAUGUAUGGGGUAAUUUUUGGAAUGUGAUAUUGCAUUCGGAAGAGCUGGAGGAAGUGUCUGGGGAGAGGGAAGUCUGGGCAUCUCUACUUAGACUGCUGCCCCCGCGACCCGGCCCCGGAUGAAGCGGAACAAGAUGGAUGGAUGGAUAUUGCACAUUCCAAUAUCCAAAGGCAAAAAUCUAUGUAUAACAUUUAUUACAAUUUCAAUUAAAUGUUGAUGACUAUUUUUAAAUGUUUUGUUAACUGUGCGGAAGUAUUAAUUUAAAAACAUUGAAUCAGUAAUAUUGAGCAAUUCAUUCAAUAUCAGUGCCAAUUGACUAUUAUACUAUAGUCUGUUAUACUACAGGACUGUUAUAUUAGAUGUUAAUAUAUGCUUAGUAAAAUGUCUAUUAAAC